AGUGAAGCCAUAGCUGCAAUCUCCAUCGCCAUUGUUGGAAGAGUGAAGUGGAGUAGUGUUUGUGUUUGUGUUUGUAGUGUGAUUAGAGAUGUGUUGCCAAUUUUGUUCUUUCACAUCAGUUGCGGCCUCUGUUUGAAGUUUGAAUUACGAGCGUUUCCAGCAGCAGUUGCAUCUAACAAGCAAAAAUGGAAUUUGGUAAGAAGCGUAGUUCAAAAAACAACAAAAAUGAAGUUGGUAAGGAGCAUAGAUGCAGAGUUUCGUUUGAUGUUCAAGAAAAAGGGACUAAAUGGAUACCUAUUCCUCAUACGUGUGAUUGCUACAAGAUGCAUCUUAAGGCAAGUUCUUCUGGAAAUCUUAACUAUGUUUAUGAGGCCUUUAGCAUUGCUUUUUAAAUAAGUUUUAGAAAAAUAGUUUCUUUGUGCAUACUUGAAUUCCAUAAUAUCAAUUUCCAAACCAACAUUUGGACUCUGUCAAUGAUGAUUUUACUCAUUUGGAUUCGGAUGAUGAACAGUUUCGUGAGAAUGCUUUACCGGAGAAGGAAGAGUUGGAGGCUGAUAUUGAUAGUGAUGUGGCUACUACAUUAGUUGAUGAAAGCAGUAAGAGUACUUUCUGCAUGUUUGUUGAACUGUAUUACUGUCUGUCUCUUUGAAAGACAAACAUCAAUUUUAGUGGAUGGUCAUUGAAUUACAUGUGAAUGAUGUAAACUAGUCUUACACCCGAUCGAUUUUUUUUUUCCUUCAAUUAAA